rnacentral:rRNA from 1 species
UUGAUCCUGGCUCAGAAUCAACGCUGGCGGCGUGCCUCAGACAUGCAAGUCGAACGAUUAAGACUCUCUUCGGAGAGUGUAUAGAGUGGCGCACGGGUGUGUAACACGUAGGUAAUUUGCCUUCGGGUGGGGAAUAACUUGGGGAAACCUAAGCUAAUACCGCAUAAUGCAGCGGCACCAAAUGGUGACAGUUGUUAAAUCUUUAUGUGCCUGAAGAGAAGCCUGCGGUGGAUUAGGUAGUUGGUAAGGUAAUGGCUUACCAAGCCUGCGAUCCAUAUCCGGUCUUAGAGGACGGUCGGUCACACUGACACUGAAUAACGGGUCAGACUCCUACGGGAGGCAGCAGUCGUGAAUUUUGGGCAAUGGGCGAAAGCCUGACCCAGCAACGCCGCGUGAAGGUUGAAGUCCUUCGGGAUGUAAACUUCGGAAGAAUGGGAAGAAUAAAUGACUGUACCAUUUUUAAGCCCCGGCUAACUCCGUGCCAGCAGCCGCGGUAAUAUGGU